rnacentral:rRNA from 1 species
GUCUAGUCUGCCCACUGAAUUUAAUUUUUAAUGGCCGCAGUAUUUUGACUGUGCAAAGGUAGCAUAAUCAUUAGUUUUUUAAUUAAAAGCUUGUAUGAAAGGCUGGACGAGGUAGAAUCUGUCUCUAUUUAAAUUAUAGUAGAAUUUAAUUUUUAAGUUAAAAAGCUUAAAUGUUAUUAAAAGACGAGAAGACCCUAUAGAUCUUUAUAAUUUAUUAAAUGAAAUUAAUUUAGAAUUAUUUAUUUUUUAUUUUAAUAAAUUAUUUUAUUGGGGUAAUAGAAAGAUUGAGUUAAUUCUUUUUUGUAAUAAACAUUGAUUUAUGAAUAUUAAAUGAUCCAGUUUUACUGAUUAUAAGAUUAAGUUACCUUAGGGAUAACAGCGUAAUUUUUUUAGAGAGUUCAUAUCGAUAAAAAAGUUUGCGACCUCGAUGUUGGAUUAAAGAUUAUUUUGGGUGUAGAAGCUCAAUAAUUUUGGUCUGUUCGACCAUUAAAUCUUUACAUGAUCUGAGUUCAGACCGGCGUAAGCCAGGUCGGUUUCUAUCUUUAAUAAAAUAAAAUAUUUUAGUACGAAAGGACCAAAUAUUUAAUAUAUUUAUAUUUAAUUUAUUGAAUAUUAUUAAAGUUUUUAUUAUUUUGGCAGAUUAGUGCAAUGAAUUUAGAAUUCAUUUAUGUAAUUUAUUUACAAAUAAUACUUGUUUUAUAUAGAUAUUGUUUUUUCUUUAGUAUGUAUAAUAUUAUUAAUUGUUUGUGUUUUAGUGGGGGUUGCUUUUUUAACUUUAUUAGAACGAAAGGUUUUAGGUUAUAUUCAAAUUCGUAAGGUCCUAAUAAAGUAGGAUUUAUAGG